GCCGCUUGCCCAGCUCGGAGCCUGAGGCCACCAUGGCGCGCAGCAUGUCCCCGGUGGCCAGGUGGCAGACGCAGUAGGUCUCAGCCAGCUUCGGUGCCUGCGGGAGAGAACAGGUAGAAGGGAGUGCAUCUGCACUGCACGUAUGCAGGAGAGCAGGCUGGCAGCUUCUGCUGGUGCCUCAGUGCCAAUAAAACAGGCCAGGAUCUUGCAGGAGACAAGAGCUUGCUUGGCCCCGGCCGCAAGCAGAGUCAGCAGCAAAGGCAGGCUCACAGUGUUGAGCACAGGAACCCCCGGCCGGGGUUAAGUCAGCUGCAGGUCCUUCAUCCCCUCCAAUGUGGGGGCAGCUACCCCUGCACAGAGCAUCUGCACCCCAGUGACACGGGGGAGGGUUAUUGCAGAUGAACAAGGAGAGGAAAAGACAAAUCCCUCAUUCAGCUUCUGCUACGUGGGGGACGGAGUAGUGCGGCCAUUUGCAAGUGCACAAAUGCAGGCAAGGCUGAAAGGUGAAACAAGACUCAUCAGCCAGACGGGUCGUCGGCACAUACAGCCGGGCCAAUCCGCUGCUGGGCGCCCACCAAACUGGCAGCAGUGCAACAAAGGCAGAAUCAGUCCUCGCUAAGACGACUUGCCUGCCUACCUCCCCCAGCCGGCGUCGCAGCCAAACGCGCUGCUCAGCCUUUGAGCUGCGUGAAGCUUUGUUUCCCUGGAAGCAGCAUUUCGGAAGAGAUCUUGGACCCCCAGCAACAGCCAAGCCUCGGGGUGCUGCGGGAGCUCGGCGUUCCUCGGAGGGCCCCCCUGGCAUAACACCUAGUCACCCGCGAGGGAGGCUUUGGACCUUGUGUGUUGCAUACUUAGAAACCAUACCCUGCUCGAGGAGGCUUUAAACUGGUGUUAUUAUAUCUUGGCCAUGAAUGGAUACUUGGAUGAAUCUGACUUCAUGAUGGUGGAGGAGGGCUUCACCACCAGAGACCUCCUGGAGAACCUCCUCGUGGAGCUGUGCCAGACGAGCGACCAGGGAGCUUUCUUUAUGGCGGACCUUGGCGACAUUGUGAAGAAACAUCUGUGCUUCCUGAAGGCCUUGCCCCGCGUGAAAACUUACUUCCCUGUUAAGUGCAACAGCAGCAGAGGAGUGAUACAGCUACUGGCCGAGCUGGGGGCAGGCUUUGCCUGUGCCAGUAAGGCAGAGAUUGACCAGGUUCGAAGCAUUGGGGUUCCAGCUGACAAGAUCUUCUACAGCAACCCCUGCAAGCAGGUUGCCCACAUCAAAUACGCCGCCAGCCAUGGCGUGCAGCUGAUGACCUUUGACAAUGAGGUGGAGCUAAACAAGGUGGCCAGGAGCCACCCUCAUGCCAGGAUGUUGUUGGGUAUCGCUGCUGACUUCAGCCCCUCUCCCCAUCCGAGUGUGACAUUUGGCGCCACCCUCAUGUCCUGCCGGCACCUGCUAGAGACGGCAAAGGAACAGGCUGUGGAAGUUGUCGGCAUCAGCUUUCACCUUGGGAGCCACUGUCUGGACCCCCAGGCCUUCACUCAGUCUGUAGCUGAAGCCCAGCUGGCAUUUGAGAUGGGCACGGAGCUGGGCUACCGGAUGCGCAUCCUGGACAUUGGCGGGGGAUUCCCUGGUCCUGAGGACACCAGAGCCCGGUUCGAAGAGACUGCUGCUGCGAUAAACUCUGCCUUGGACUUGUAUUUCCCAGAAGGCUGCGGGGUGGAGGUUGUGGCGAGACCAGGGCGAUAUUACGUCACCUCGGCCUUCACCUUUGCAGCCACUGUCACUGCCAAGGAAGAGGUUCCCCCGGGCCAGCCUGGGUCAGAGGAGGAGGAGUCUGGCAGCAAGAAGAGCGUCGUGUAUCACCUCAGUGAUGGCAUCUACGGCUCCUUUAACUGCGUCCUGUUUGACAGCCCCUGCCCCAGGCCUCUUCUGCACAAGGUCACGCUGCUUCAAGGCAGGCUCUGGCCCCCCAGGUUUGGGGGCAGAGUCUUAUCGUGUAUAAAGCAGCACAGCGCUGUGGUGCAGGUGCCCUCAUCCUGUGGCCGCUCGCGCUCUCCCUGCAGAAGCGAUGCCCCGAUCACCCCUCGUACAGCAGCAGCCUCCGGGGCCCCCCAGGGCACGCAGAGGACCGGAUCGCCGAUGGCUUGGAGCUGCCCGAGCUGCAGGUCGGGGACUGGCUGAUUUUCGAGGACAUGGGUGCCUACACCAUCACACCUUCGUCCCCCCUCAGUGUGUGUCCCCAGCCGCAGAUCAACUACGCCAUGUCCCGCGUGGCCUGGAAAGCCAUCCAGCUCUUUCAGGGGAAGCCGCCACAAGCAGAAGAGGAUCGUGAGAGCGUCUGCACUCCCCUGUCCUGCGGCUGGGAGAUUGCAGAGACGCUGUGUGUCCCCCCCGUCUUCACUCCCACCGGUAUCAUCUGAACAGCACCAGGAAGGAGGGGGAAGGGUCCUGUACCGCCAGCGCUCUGGCAGCAUCUCC